rnacentral:misc_RNA from 1 species
AACUUUCAACAACUGAUCACUUGGCUCUCGCAUCGAUGAAGAACGCAGCGAAAUGCGAUAAGUAAUGUGAAUUGCAGAAUUCAGUGAAUCAUCGAAUCUUUGAACGCACCUUGCGCCCUUUGGCUAUUCUGAAGGGCAUGCCUGUUUGAGUAUCAUGAACACCUCAACUCUCAUGGUCCGCCAUGAUGAGCUUGGACUUUGGGGGUCUUGCCGGCCUAGUGUCGGCUCCUCUCAAAUGGAUCAGCUUGCCAGUGUUUGGUGGCGUCACAGGUGUGAUAACUAUCUACGCUUGUGGUUUUCUGCCAUAUAACCUUCAGUGAUGGAGGUUCUCUGGAGCUCACAGAUGUCUCUCCUUGGGGAGGACAGCUUUUGAACGUUUGAUCUCAAAUCAGGUAGGACUACCCGCUGAACUUAAGCAUAUCAAUAAGCGGCU